rnacentral:rRNA from 1 species
CUAAAUACUACCCAGUGACCGAUAGCGUAUAGUACUGUGAAGGAAAGGUGAAAAGCACCCCGGGAGGGGAGUGAAAAAGAACCUGAAACCCUGUGCCUACAAGCACCUAGAGCGCGUCAAUGCGUGAUAGGGUACUUUUUGUAGAACGGUCCGGCGAGCGAUUGUAUGCAGCAAGGUUAAGGACUUAAGGUCUGGAGCCGAAGCGAAAGCGAGUUUGAAAAGGGCGUUAAGUUGCAUAUAAUGGGCCCGAAACCGGGUGACCUACCCAUGGUCAGGUUGAAGUGGAAGUAAAAUUCCAUGGAGGACCGAACCGACCUCCGUUGAAAAGGCGGCGGAUGAACUGUGGGUAGCGGAGAAAUUCCAAUCGAACCCGGAGAUAGCUGGUUCUCCCCGAAAUAGUUUUAGGACUAGCCUCAAGUUAGAUACCUGGAGGUAAAGCACUGAAUAGCCUAGCGGCCGAGAGGUUAGCGAAGCUUAUCAAACUCAGAAUGCCAGAGUAUUGAUGCUUGGGAGUCAGACAGUGUCAGAUAAAUGUCAUUGUCAAAAGGGAAACAGCCCAGAUCUACAGCUAAGGUCCCAAAGUCAGGUUAAGUGGAAAACGAUGUGAAGAUACGCAGACAACCAGGAUGUUGGCUCAGAAGCAGCCACUCAUUCAAAGAGUGCGUAAUAGCUCACUGGUCGAGCGUCUUUGCGCGGAGAAUUUAACGGGGCUAAACCUGACACCGAAGCUUAGGCAAUACAGCAAUGUAUUGGGUAGGGGAGCGUUGUAUACGCGGUGAAACAGUAGCGCAAGCGGCUGUGGAGUGUAUAGAAGUGAGAAUGCCGGAAUGAGUAGCGCGAAUGCAGUGAGAAUCUGCAUGGCCGAAAGCCUCAGGUUUCUGGAGGAAGGUUCGUCCGCUCCAGGUCAGUCGGGAGCUAAGGUGAGGCCUAACGGCGUAGCCGAUGCACAGACGGUAGAGAUUCCGUCACCACCAAAAGAGUUAAACACAGGGACACAUUUGAAGUCUCGGAGCCGGGUGUUGGUUCCGGUAGCGAUCGAGGGAAAUUAGUACCGAAGUCCGGGAUGGAAGAUGGCGAGAAAAGCUGUGUGUAUUUCUGCGGUGCCCGUACCGCAAACCGACACAGGUAGGUAGGAAGAAGAUUCUAAGGCCAACGGGAGAAGGGUUGUUAAGGAACUCGGCAAAUUGACCCCGUAACUUCGGGAGAAGGGGUGCUGCAGCAAUGCAGCCGCAGAGAAUCGGCCCAAGCAACUGUUUACCAAAAACACAGGUUUGUGCUAAAUCGAAAGAUGACGUAUACGAGCUGACGCCUGCCCGGUGCUGGAAGGUUAAGAGGAGAUGUGCAAGCAUUGAAUCGAAGCCCCAGUGAACGGCGGCCGUAACUAUAACGGUCCUAAGGUAGCGAAAUUCCUUGUCAGGUAAG